rnacentral:rRNA from 1 species
CCUACGUGCGGCAGCAGUGGGGGAUAUUGCACAAUGGGGGAAACCCUGAUGCAGCGACGCCGCGUGUGGGAAGACGGUCCUCUGGAUUGUAAACCACUGUCCCCAGGGACGAAGCUGACGGUACCUGGGGAGGAAGCUCCGGCUAACUACGUGCCAGCAGCCGCGGUAAUACGUGGGGAGCGAGAGUUGUCCGGAAUUACUGGGUGUAAAGGGAGCGUAGGCGGGGAUGCAAGUUGGGUGGCAAAACUGCCGGUUAAAACGGGAGUCGCACUCAAAACUGUAGCCCUUGAGUGAAGUAGAGGGAAGCGGAAUUCCUAGUGUAGCGGUGAAAUGCGUAGAUAAUAGGAGGGACACCAGUGGCGAAGGGGGCCUGCCGGGGUUUUACUGACGCUGAGGCUCGAAAGUGUGGGGAGCAAACAGGAUUAGAUACCCUGGUAGUC